rnacentral:rRNA from 1 species
ACGUGGGAUGCAAGCGUUAUCCGGAUUUAUUGGGCGUAAAGAGUUCGUAGGCGUUUUUCUAAGUUUCGUCUGAAAAACCGAGGCUCAACCUCGGGACCGGAUGAAAUACUAGAAGAAUUUGAGUUGGUUAGGGGGUACUGGAACUUUCGGUGUAGCAGUGAAAUGCGUUGAUAUCGAAAGGAACACCAAGGGCGAAGGCAAGUACCUGGGACCACACUGACGCUGAGGAACGAAAGCUAGGGGAGCGAAAGGGAUUAGAGACCCCUGUAGUCCUAGCCGUAAACUAUGCACGCUUGAUCCUUGCCUUAGGGUGGGGGUUGGAGCUAACGCGUGAAGCGUGCCGCCUGGGGAGUACGACCGCAAGGUUA